AUGAACGCUGGCGGCGUGCCUAAUACAUGCAAGUCGCGCGAACGGACGAGAAGCUUGCUUCUCUGAUGUUAGCGGCGGACGGGUGAGUAACACGUGGAUAACCUACCUAUAAGACUGGGAUAACUUCGGGAAACCGGAGCUAAUACCGGAUAAUAUUUUGAACCGCAUGGUUCAAAAGUGAAAGACGGUCUUGCUGUCACUUAUAGAUGGAUCCGCGCUGCAUUAGCUAGUUGGUAAGGUAACGGCUUACCAAGGCAACGAUGCAUAGCCGACCUGAGAGGGUGAUCGGCCACACUGGAACUGAGACACGGUCCAGACUCCUACGGGAGGCAGCAGUAGGGAAUCUUCCGCAAUGGGCGAAAGCCUGACGGAGCAACGCCGCGUGAGUGAUGAAGGUCUUCGGAUCGUAGACUCUGUUAUUAGGGAAGAACAUAUGUGUAAGUAACUGUGCACAUCUUGACGGUACCUAAUCAGAAAGCCACGGCUAACUACGUG
rnacentral:rRNA from 1 species